rnacentral:rRNA from 1 species
GUGGGGAAUAUUGGACAAUGGGGGGAACCCUGAUCCAGCCAUGCCGCGUGUGUGAAGAAGGCCUUUUGGUUGUAAAGCACUUUAAGCGAGGAGGAGGCUACCGAGAUUAAUACUCUUGGAUAGUGGACGUUACUCGCAGAAUAAGCACCGGCUAACUCUGUGCCAGCAGCCGCGGUAAUACAGAGGGUGCAAGCGUUAAUCGGAUUUACUGGGCGUAAAGCGCGCGUAGGUGGCCAAUUAAGUCAAAUGUGAAAUCCCCGAGCUUAACUUGGGAAUUGCAUUCGAUACUGGUUAGCUAGAGUAUGGGAGAGGAUGGUAGAAUUCCAGGUGUAGCGGUGAAAUGCGUAGAGAUCUGGAGGAAUACCGAUGGCGAAGGCAGCCAUCUGGCCUAAUACUGACACUGAGGUGCGAAAGCAUGGGGAGCAAACAGGAUUAGAUACCCGUGUAGUCC